GGUAGCAUAAUCAUUAGUCUCCUAAUUAGAGGCUUGUAUGAAUGGUCGGACAAGAUGGGGACUGUCUCAAUACAAAAAAUGGAAAUUAAUAUUUAAGUAAAAAAGCUUAAAUGUUGUGGAGUGACGAUAAGACCCUAUAAAGCUUUAUGGUAGUUUCUUUUUAUAGUAAUUAGUAUAAUGUAAUUUAUUAAAGGGAAAUAUAUCAUUUUACUGGGGCGGUAAAAGUAUAUUUUUGAUUAACUGCUUUUGUUUUGUAAAACAAUGAUAAUUGAAUUAUAAAUUGAUCCAUUAUUAAUGAUUACAAGAACAAGUUACUUUAGGGAUAACAGCGUAAUUUUUCUUGAGAGUUCUUAUCGAAAGAAGAGUUUGCGACCUCGAUGUUGAAUUAAGGAAGCCUUAAGGUGUAGCAGUUUUAUAGGCAGAUCUGUUCGAUCUUUGAAUCUUUACAUGAUUUG
rnacentral:rRNA from 1 species